rnacentral:rRNA from 1 species
GGUUAAGUUAGAAAGGGCGCACGGUGAAUGCCUUGGCACUAGGAGCCGAAGAAGGACGCGACGAACGGCGAAACGCCUCGGGGAGCUGUAAGUGAGCUUUGAUCCGAGGAUAUCCGAAUGGGGGAACCCACCAUUUUUAAUCGAAUGGUACCCGUAUCUGAAUACAUAGGAUACGAGGAGGCAGACCCGGGGAACUGAAACAUCUAAGUACCCGGAGGAAGAGAAAGAAAAUCGAUUUCCUGAGUAGCGGCGAGCGAAACGGAAAGAGCCCAAACCUGAAGGCUUGCCUUCAGGGGUUGUAGGACAUUCCAUUGGAGUCAUAAAGAAACGGAGUAGGUGAAGCAUCUGGAAAGAUGCGUCAAAGAGGGUAACAACCCCGUAGCCGAAACUUCGUUUCCUCCGGAGUGUAUCCUGAGUACGGCGGGACACGUGAAACCCCGUCGGAAUCCGGGAGGACCAUCUCCCAAGGCUAAAUACUACCUAGUGACCGAUAGUGAACCAGUACCGUGAGGGAAAGGUGAAAAGCACCCCGGAAGGGGAGUGAAAGAGAUCCUGAAACCGUGUGCCUACAACUAGUCAGAGCCCAUUAACGGGUGAUGGCGUGCCUUUUGUAGAAUGAACCGGCGAGUUACGAUGUCGUGCAAGGUUAAGCUGAUGAGGCGGAGCCGUAGCGAAAGCGAGUCUGAAUAGGGCGAUUUGAGUACGCCGUCGUAGACCCGAAACCGAGUGAUCUACCCAUGUCCAGGGUGAAGUUCAGGUAACACUGAAUGGAGGCCCGAACCCACGCAUGUUGAAAAAUGCGGGGAUGAGGUGUGGGUAGGGGUGAAAUGCCAAUCGAACUCGGAAAAUAGUCGUUUCUCCCCGAAAUAGCUUUAGGGCUAGCCUCGAGGGAAGAGUCUUGGAGGUAGAGCACUGAUUGGACGAGGGGUCCCCACAGGAUUACCGAAUUCAGUCAAACUCCGAAUGCCAAGUACUUAUCCUCGGGAGUCAGACUGCGAGUGCUAAGAUCCGUAGUCAAGAGGGAAACAGCCCAGACCAUCAGCUAAGGUCCCAAAGUAUACGUUAAGUGGCAAAGGAUGUGGAGUUGCCCAGACAACCAGGAUGUUGGCUUAGAAGCAGCCACCAUUUAAAGAGUGCGUAAUAGCUCACUGGUCGAGUGACUCUGCGCCGAAAAUGUAACGGGGCUAAACGUAUCACCGAAGCUAUGGAUGAACACCUUAGGUGUUCGUGGUAGGGGAGCGUUCCAAGGACAGCGAAGCUAGAUCGUGAGGACUAGUGGAGUGCUUGGAAGUGAGAAUGCCGGUAUGAGUAGCGAAAGAGGGGUGAGAAUCCCCUCCGUCGAAAGCCCAAGGUUUCCUGAGGAAGGCUCGUCCGCUCAGGGUCAGUCGGGACCUAAGCCGAGGCUGAAAAGCGUAGGCGAUGGACAACAGGUUGAUAUUCCUGUACCACCUCUCCACCGUUUGAGUAAUGGGGAACGCAGAAAGGUAGGGUGAGCGCGCUGAUGGAUAUGCGCGUCUAAGCUGUUACGAGGCUUAAAGAGGGCAAAUCCGCUUUCCGUUCGGCUGAGCAGUGAUAGCGAGGAAAUUUAGUACCGAAGUCCUUGACCGGCCGGAGAAAAGCCUCUAGCGAGGUGGAAGGUGCCCGUACCGCAAACCGACACAGGUAGGCGAGAAGAGAAUUCUAAGACGCGCGGGAAGAACUCCUUGUUAAGGAACUCGGAAAUGACCCCGUAAGUUCGGGGAGAAGGGCGUCGAUCAGGGUGCAAGCCCGAGAGAGCCGCAGUGAAGAAUUCAAAGGCGAACUGGGGUUUGUAGCAACACAGGUCUGUGAGCCGCAAGGCGAAGUAUAGGGGCGCACCUGCCCGGCGCCCCGAAGGUUAAGAGGAGGGGGUUAUCCUUCGGGAGAAGCUUGAAUUGAAGCCCAGUAAACGGCGGCCGUAAACUAUAACGGUCCUAGGUAGUGAAAUUCCUCGUCGGGUAAGUUCCAACCCGCACGAAUGGUGUAACGAUUUGCAGACCGCUCCAACGAGAGACCCGGUGAAAUUAUAGUACCUGUGAAGAUGCAGGUUACCCGCGACAGGACGGAAAGACCCCAUGGAGCUUUACUGUAGCCUGAUAGUGGAUGUUGGUAUCGUUUGUACAGGAUAGGUAGGAGCCUUUGAAACCGGAGCGCCAGCUUCGGUGGAGGCAUUGGUGGAUACUACCCUGACGGUGCUGACAUUUUAACCUCGACCCGUGAUCCGGGUCAGGGACAUUGUCAGGUGGGCAGUUUCGACGGGGCGGUCGCCUCUUGAACAGUAACGGAGGCGCCCAAAGGUUCCUCAGAAUGGUUGGAAAUCAUUCAAGAAGUGCAAGGCAUAAGGGAGCUUGACUGCGAGACCUACAAGUCGAGCAGGGACGAAAGUCGGGCUUAGUGAUCCGGCGGUGCCGAAUGGAAGGGCCGUCGCUCAACGGAUAAAAGCUACCCUGGGGAUACAGGUCACCCAAGAGUCCAUAUCGACGGGGAGGUUUGGCACCUCGAUGUCGGCUCGUCGCAUCCUGGGGCUGAAGUAGGUCCCAAGGGUUGGGCUGUUCGCCCGAUUAAAGCGGCACGCGAGCUGGGUUCAGAACGUCGUGAGACAGUUCGUUCCCUAUCCGUCGCGGGCGAGGCAAUUUGAGAGGAGCUGUCCUUAGUACGAGAGGACCGGGAUGACACACCGCUUGGUGACCAGUUGUUCCG